AUUUACGCAUGCAUAGUCCGUCAUCUGCUGCCAUGUGACAAGCAGUUCUGCAGGUGCACUUUAUGGCCCAUUCUCUACCAUGGUUCUUGCUCCUCCUUGGUCUUUUCAUAGGGUCAGGAACACUGGGAGAGGAUACAGUGGGGAAGAUAUCCUUGGGGAGUUGGCCACUUGGGCCCUGGAGGUCCCAGCAGAGCAAGAGGUAGAAAGUGUUACAUGGAGCUCUUGAGAGCGUGUUGCUGUUUUACAACAAGGACGAACAGGCAAACCAGUUCUGGUUCCUGAGACUCAGGGACCCGACAGUGGAUGACUGAGCAUUCCCCACCACAGCUACUCUCUUCAGAUCAGCCCCCUGAGGCUGCAGGACUAUAAGCCUAUCAGCCUGGGUAACUCUGCAUACUUCCUCAAUCAUUAUCACCAGGGAUUUCACCCUGCUUGUCUAUGAUAAGGAGGGCUGGAGGGCCCCACAUUUGAAAUUGAGCUUUCCUCUACCCUAUUUGGCCAGACCAGAGCCUUCUCAUAGCUCAAGCUUUCCCUUCUUGGUUCAGAGAGGCUGCAGGAGCUGAACGUCUUUGCAGCUCCCAGAUCAUGAAGGAUGGGACCUGCUUCAUCACCCGGCCUGCUCCCUGGAACAGGCUGGAGAGAAUGUGCAGAACAGCUGGGAGCCUCCCAGUCAUGGGGCAGUUGUGUCCCAUGGGGGGAUCACUCUCAGUGUCCCCUGGAUAUCUGGGGAAAGUGAGAGCUACCACUGCACUGCCAGGAACCCCAUCAGCCAGAGCUCCAGCUCUGUCCUUACCAGACCCCUUUGCUCAGAUACAAUGAAGAAGAGGUCCAGGUCAAUUUCUACCCUUCAUGUAAAUCACUGUUACAAUCAUCACAACCUGCACCUGACUAGCUUUUCGGCCAUUUCGUCUUCCAGUCAGCCCUGGGAAAUGACUUUGGGAGAGUUCUGUAUUUUGUUGUACAAAGACAACAUUGAAUGUGUUCUGUUAUGGGCUUUUUGUGUCUGUGCUCUCCACUGAACUGUGAGAAAAACACAUUCUUACUGUUCUCUGCAUCCUAAUACACAACAAGUAAUAAGUAUCAAAAAAUGUGGGUCUGACAAGUAUUUAAAAAGCAUCUGCGCUGGGUGAUAUGGGACACAUGGAGACAUGAUAAUUGGCUGUAGACGUUCACAGUCUCCUUCUCUCUCUACGGGGCCUGAUGGACAUUUCAGCUCCACCCCCACAUUCGGCUUCCUGAAGGGGCCUCCAGCCCACCCAUGCCUCUGACUUGUCCUUCAAAAUCAUUUUCCCUGUUUCUCUGUCUUCCUCUCUUCCUUUUCUCCCAGUUCCUAACCUGUGGUCAUUGUUCAUUCAGCCUCCUUUCUACCCCACUCCCUGAGGAAAGAAUUUCUUCCUUUUUUGAUUCUGGGAGUUUUGGGGAUUGAACAGAUUUCACCUGGACAUGUGGAGAAGCCAAGAAGAGAAGUUUGAGAUGGCGGCCAUCCUGUGAGACACAGAGUUAAAGAAGUUCGCAUGUGGAAUGUUGCCUGAGGCCAGCAUUUCCUGGUGUGAGAGAAGGACAUUGACAGUGAUUAAGGCAUAAACCCCAUUUCAUGUGCAAACUUAGUUCAAAAUUAUCAGGAAACUGCUACAUGUCUUCUGUUUAAAAUAAUCUGUUUAUGUUUUGUCGAAGUGUGUAUUUAAGUGUUCAGAAAAAAAGGAGCUUAUUUAUUAAAGAAAAAUUGAAUGGAACAUAAAAACAUUG